GGGGGAUUAGCUCAGCUGGCUAGAGCGUCCCGAACUAGCUUCGGGAAGGCCAUCGGUUCGACCCCGAUAUUUUCACG
rnacentral:tRNA from 1 species